UCAGAAAACAAGACGAAACAAACGAACAAAAAAAAAAAUCACAAAAGAUGUACCAUUAAGACUUCUCCAAACAAAAAUGCUAACAUGUUUUAGAGUUCAACUUGUAUUUGCCUUCUUUGGCAUUCACGUGCAGGCGGGCCAUACAGUACAGAAACUUUUCACGGGGAGCAUGUACAGUCUGAAGAAUGGUUUCCAACGCCCAUCAUCACCUCCAGGGACCGGCUUUUGUAAGACCAGUAACACGCUUUCUGUCUUUGCAACGUAUACUUUGCAAACCGCUAAGAAGGGAGCCAUGGCACUGAGGGGGGAAUCAUCCAAGGUCAAUCUGGACCCGGACAAGAGGACACACACCCCACCUUUACAAAUGGCAGCCUUUUGAAAGAGAAAAUAUCCCACCCUAACAAAAUAUGGCAACAAGUUACUCUCACGAUUAAGAGGGAACAGAUAAUAAGUGGAUAAAUAGGAACAGAUACACAUUGAAUCUUCACUGGAUAGUGAGAUUACAAAUUACUUCCACUUUUCCAGAGUUUCCUACAAGUAAUUAGAUGCUGAGCGGACCGGACCGUUUCCUGUUCCUGGCCGUAUGAUGAAGGCGUUAAGGUGGAGAGAAAGCCGAUAACCAGCGCGAGGUCGCGGGUGUCACAAGCAGCAGAGCUGGGGUUAACC